AUCCAGAUGACGAGUCCCAAAUAGAACGAAGUGCGCAUCCUGGAU
rnacentral:hammerhead_ribozyme from 1 species